UGCAAGUCGAGCGGUAGAGAGAAGCUUGCUUCUCUUGAGAGCGGCGGACGGGUGAGUAAUGCCUAGGAAUCUGCCUGGUAGUGGGGGAUAACGUUCGGAAACGGACGCUAAUACCGCAUACGUCCUACGGGAGAAAGCAGGGGACCUUCGGGCCUUGCGCUAUCAGAUGAGCCUAGGUCGGAUUAGCUAGUUGGUGAGGUAAUGGCUCACCAAGGCGACGAUCCGUAACUGGUCUGAGAGGAUGAUCAGUCACACUGGAACUGAGACACGGUCCAGACUCCUACGGGAGGCAGCAGUGGGGAAUAUUGGACAAUGGGCGAAAGCCUGAUCCAGCCAUGCCGCGUGUGUGAAGAAGGUCUUCGGAUUGUAAAGCACUUUAAGUUGGGAGGAAGGGCAGUUACUUAAUACGUGAUUGUUUUGACGUUACCGACAGAAUAAGCACCGGCUAACUCUGUGCCAGCAGCCGCGGUAAUACAGAGGGUGCAAGCGUUAAUCGGAAUUACUGGGCGUAAAGCGCGCGUAGGUGGUUUGUUAAGUUGGAUGUGAAAUCCCCGGGCUCAACCUGGGAACUGCAUUCAAAACUGACUGACUAGAGUGUGGUAGAGGGUGGUGGAAUUUCCUGUGUAGCGGUGAAAUGCGUAGAUAUAGGAAGGAACACCAGUGGCGAAGGCGACCACCUGGACCAACACUGACACUGAGGUGCGAAAGCGUGGGGAGCAAACAGGAUUAGAUACCCUGGUAGUCCACGCCGUAAACGAUGUCAACUAGCCGUUGGGAGCCUUGAGCUCUUAGUGGCGCAGCUAACGCAUUAAGUUGACCGCCUGGGGAGUACGGCCGCAGGUUUAAAACUCAAAUGAAUUGACGGGGGCCCGCACAAGCGGUGGAGCAUGUGGUUUAUUUCAAAGCACGCGAAGAACUUACCAG
rnacentral:rRNA from 1 species